AUACGUAGGUGGCGAGCGUUGUCCGGAAUCAUUGGGCGUAAAGGGCGCGCAGGCGGCCGUCCAAGUCCGGUGUUAAAUGGUCGGGCUCAACCCGAUCAUGCGCUGGAAACUGGGCGGCUGGAGUCCCGGAGGGGAUGCCGGAAUUCCAGGUGUAGGGGUGAAAUCUGUAGAUAUCUGGAAGAACACCGAUGGCGAAGGCAGGCAUCUGGCCGGAGACUGACGCUGAGGCGCGAAGGCGCGGGGAGCGAACAGGUUUAGAUACCCUGGUAGUCCGCGCAGUAAACGAUGCGCACCAGGUGUCGGGCGGCAGCGCCCGGUACCGGAGCAAACGCGAUGAGUGCGCCGCCUGGGGAGUAUGCCCGCAAGGGUGAAACUCAAAUGAAUUGGCGGGG
rnacentral:rRNA from 1 species